rnacentral:rRNA from 1 species
UUACCUGCCCUGGAGUGGUGGAUAACCUGCCGAAAGGUGGGCUAAUACAGCAUGAGACCACGAGGUUUCGAUCUCGCGGUCAAAGCAGGCCUCUUUUUAAAAGCUUGCGCUCCGGGAUGGGUCCGCGGCCCAUCAGCUAGUUGGUAGGGUAAAAGCCUACCAAGGCAGAGAUCGGUAGCCGGCCUGAGAGGGCACACGGCCACACUGGCACUGAAACACGGGCCAG